rnacentral:tRNA from 1 species
GAGGUUGUAGCUCAAUGGUAGAGCACUUGCUUAGCAUGCGUGAGGCACUGGGUUUGAUUCUCAGCACCACA